rnacentral:lncRNA from 1 species
CAGGCAAGCUGGCUGAUGCCUGAGGCUGAGAAAAAAAUGCUCUUUACUUGCAGAACUCUAGAUGUGUCACACUAAAAACUCCUUUAUUCCCAUGGGACUAGCUCAUGGGAUGGAAGACUUGGACCCAAUGAGGUGAGGGAGCAUAUUCAGAGCCCGACUCCUCUGCAUCUCUCUCAUACCAUAAGGAGAUUUAGCGUUGCCUUGGUGAGGAGAAAACACAGGGGUUCCAUCUGUGGACCUCCUUCUACCAUGUGAGAGUAACCGCAGGUCUAGGAAAGGAUGAAUGAGCUUCGAGGAAUCCGCAAGCAAGAAAAUUCUGGUUCUUAUCAAGGAGACCGAGAACCCAGAUGUGAGCCCAGAGAUCUCAAGUAUUCCAACUGCCAUUUGACAUGUGACAUUCGCCAUUCAGGACAUGUGACAAAGGACUGUGGACAUCUCAGUAUGGUCCUAUCACGUAACUCUUCUAGUCCACAUCCCACUGAAGCCCACUUUGCAGCUGGCAGGUGUCUGCGAGUGUCCACAACACCUCUGCCCUUGCUCCUGGAGUCUGCUACAUGUGUGUUUCUCAUCUGUCAUCAGUUAGACUCUUCAGAGCUAUUUGAAUAACCUCAUUCAUGCUCUUAGCUCACUCGAACUCCAGGACCCUCUUUGGUCUUUCUGAGAUGAAGACUGCUUUGUUGUGUAUCUAGAGCAAAAUCUCCAAGGUAAGUGAGGUCUGUAGGGAAAAAGCAAGACUUGU